CUGGUAGCCCUGGAGACUGAAGUCUUCUGUUUAACCACAGAGCAGGUCUGAGAGUGGUCACAUCAGCAGAAGCUUCUUCCCACUGCCCUGCCAAUAUCGGAAUCCCCUCUGAGUGUGAGAGCAGAGGUCAGGUCGGGCUGCAAAACCAUUUAUUUCUUGGCCUUC
rnacentral:sRNA from 1 species